rnacentral:rRNA from 1 species
CCUACGGGAGGCAGCAGUGGGGAAUUUUGGACAAUGGGCGAAAGCCUGAUCCAGCAAUGCCGCGUGAGCGAAGAAGGCCUUCGGGUUGUAAAGCUCUUUUGUCAGGGAAGAAACGGUGAGAGCUAAUAUCUCUUGCCAAUGACGGUACCUGAAGAAUAAGCACCGGCUAACUACGUGCCAGCAGCCGCGGUAAUACGUAGGGUGCAAGCGUUAAUCGGAAUUACUGGGCGUAAAGCGUGCGCAGGCGGUUUUGUAAGUCUGAUGUGAAAUCCCCGGGCUCAACCUGGGAAUUGCAUUGGAGACUGCAAGGCUAGAAUCUGGCAGAGGGGGGUAGAAUUCCACGUGUAGCAGUGAAAUGCGUAGAUAUGUGGAGGAACACCGAUGGCGAAGGCAGCCCCCUGGGUCAAGAUUGACGCUCAUGCACGAAAGCGUGGGGAGCAAACAGGAUUAGAUACCCUGGUAGUCCACGCCCUAAACGAUGUCUACUAGUUGUCGGGUCUUAAUUGACUUGGUAACGCAGCUAACGCGUGAAGUAGACCGCCUGGGGAGUACGGUCGCAAGAUUAAAACUCGAAAGGAAUUGACGG